CAAGGUUGUAGCAAUUGCGUUGACUAUGCUCUCACUUGACGUAUCUGAAAAGACAGAGAUGAAAGUUUAUGGCGCGGGUGACAGUAGUUGGAGAAACCUUAAAGGUUUUCCUGUUCUUUGGACUUUAACUAAAGUUGGUGGAGUGUAUCUGAGUGGAACCCUUAAUUGGGUUGUUAUUAUGGGAAAAGAAACCAUUCAUUCUGAAAUCGUAAUUAUUUCUGUUGACCUAGAGAAGGAGACUUGCAUAUCACUGUUUCUUCCCGACGAUUUUUGCUUUUUUGAUACAAAUAUUGGAGUUUUUAGAGACUCGCUGUGCGUUUGGCAAGAUAGCAACACCCAUCUUGGCUUGUGGCAGAUGAGGAAGUUUGGAGAUGACAAGUCUUGCAUUCAAUUAAUAAAUUUUAGUUAUUUACAUCUUAAUAUUCAUCCUUAUGAAGAAAAAUCCAUGAUUUUACCAUUGUGCAUGUCUAACAACGGAGACUUCUUCAUACUGAAAUUCACUAGAAAUGUUGAUGAUGAAUACCAAACAAUUCUGUAUAACCAGGGGGAUGGUAAGUCUCAAGUUUCUGUCAUUCCCUCAGAUAGUUUCAGAACGUUGUUGUGGCGCAACCUCAAGAUUUUUACCAAAAGUUUGGUCAUACCUUAUUGAAAUUCUACAGAUAUACGAGGACAGAACAAGAAUGGUACAUUAAACUGUAGUAUUUAUGUCAUUAGUUCUUUAAAUUAGUAUAUCAUCAUUGAGAAAUACAUACUGAUGUGUUGUUGUAACUGUGACAAUUAUAUCAGCACUAUGGCUAAUAUGUUUCAGGCAUAAUUGACUUUA